AGUGAACGCUGGCGGUAGGCCUAACACAUGCAAGUCGAACGGCAGCACAGUAAGAGCUUGCUCUUACGGGUGGCGAGUGGCGGACGGGUGAGGAAUACAUCGGAAUCUACUUUUUCGUGGGGGAUAACGUAGGGAAACUUACGCUAAUACCGCAUACGACCUACGGGUGAAAGCAGGGGAUCUUCGGACCUUGCGCGAUUGAAUGAGCCGAUGUCGGAUUAGCUAGUUGGCGGGGUAAAGGCCCACCAAGGCGACGAUCCGUAGCUGGUCUGAGAGGAUGAUCAGCCACACUGGAACUGAGACACGGUCCAGACUCCUAAGGGAGGAAGCAGUGGGGAAUAUUGGACAAUGGGCGCAAGCCUGAUCCAGCCAUACCGCGUGGGUGAAGAAGGCCUUCGGGUUGUAAAGCCCUUUUGUUGGGAAAGAAAAGCAGCAGGUUAAUACCCCGCUGUUCUGACGGUACCCAAAGAAUAAGCACCGGCUAACUUCGUG
rnacentral:rRNA from 1 species